AUGGGCCUUGUUGACAUUCUUGAGAUUCUGAUGAAGCGCCCUUUCUAUCCUAAUGCUAUUAUUGCGUACAGGAUUUUGUUAACCAUUCAUGUAACUGUUGCAACUGCGGAAAGGAGCUUCUCUAAACUCAAGUUGUUGAAAUCCUAUUUACGUUCAACUAUGACACAAGAAAGACUCCAUGGUUUGGCGACAAUAGCACUUGAAAAUGAUGUCUUGAAGAAGAUUAAUUAUGAAAAUGUAAUUGAAGAUUCCAUUUCAAGGAACACAUGA
rnacentral:rRNA from 1 species